rnacentral:pre_miRNA from 1 species
UAAUUACUCUCUCCGUCCGAAAAUACUUGUCAUCAAAAUGAACAAAAAGGAAUGUAUCUAGAACUAAAAUACAUCUAGAUACAUCCCCUUUUAUUCAUUUUGAUGACAAGUAUUUCCGGACAGAGGGAGUACUAG